AUGGCUCGGAGCAACCCGGGGCUUCUCCUGGGGCUCCUGCUGCUGCGGCUCAAUUGGUGCUUGGCCGUGGAUGGCGGAGGCGCGGAGGAAGGGGGCGGCGUGUUUCCGGUGGUGGUGAGCACCUGGCCGUUCCGGGAGGCGGUCAGGGCGGCGUGGGACGUGGUGAAAACCGGCGGCGCAGGGGGGUCGGCUGUGGAUGCCGUCGUCGCUGGCUGCUCCGCCUGCGAGGAGCUCCGCUGCGAUGGCACAGUUGGUCCAGGUGGAAGUCCAGAUGAGAAGGGUGAAACUACCUUAGAUGCUCUUAUCAUGAAUGGGAAAACAAUGGAAAUUGGAGCUGUGGCUGCCAUGAGAUAUGUGAAGGAUGCAAUUAUGGCAGCAAAGUUGGUCAUGGAGCACACUGGGCAUACUCUUCUUGUUGGAGAGAAGGCAACAUCCUUUGCAAUUUCAAUGGGUCUUGCAGGACCAACUAACCUGAGUUCACCAGAGUCAAUUGAGAAAUGGUCAAAUUGGAGACAGAAUAAUUGCCAACCUAACUUUUGGAAAAAUGUUGCUCCUGCUGGCAACUGUGGUCCAUACCAUCCUAUAAAUAUACCUAAGGACCCUGUUAAAAGUGCUGUAUGGGAGAAUCAAGGAAUCACCUGUCAGGAAUGGCUCCAAAAUGAUAAUUUACUAGAACCGACAAGCUCCCAUUUCAACUCUGUUAAUCGUCACAACCAUGACACAAUCUCUAUGGCCGUCAUUGACAAGAUGGGUCAUGUAGCAGUUGGCACAUCAACUAAUGGUGCCACGUUCAAAAUUCCAGGAAGGAAUACUACUCGAAGCUUCCUUUUGAUAUGUAUAUCAACUUCUGAAAUACUCUGGUAUUGUAUAUCGACUUCUGAAAUACUCUGGGUAGGUGAUGGACCAAUACCAGGAUCUUCUGCAUAUGGUGAUGAUGAAGUUGGGGCUUGUGGAGCUACUGGUGACGGUGAUAUUAUGAUGCGCUUCCUUCCAUGUUAUCAAGUGGUGGAGAGCAUGCGACUUGGAAUGGAGCCUCGAGAUGCUGCCGUGGAUGCGAUAUCCAGAAUUGCUCGUAAGUACCCAGAUUUUGUUGGUGCUGUAUUUGCGCUUAACAAGAAAGGAGUGCAUGCUGGGGCGUGCCAUGGAUGGACCUUUCAGUAUUCUGUCAGGAAUUCCAGCAUGCAGGAUGUGGAGGUCAUCACAGUAACACCUUAA
rnacentral:rRNA from 1 species